UUGUUGAUGAGGAAAGUGAUGUCAGUGCUUCAUCGAGCAACCUAAGGUCCCAUUAUUGCUGGCAGUUCUCCUGUCUCCUCCCUUCUUGAAUUUCGGCUUAAUCCAGUGACGAUGGUUAGCAAAGAGAUGAGGGAGUGGUCGUGGGGAGGCUCCUUCACUGGCAGAUUCGGCUAUCCUUCCUUUACUAGAGUCUAGCGCCGUGCUUUUCUCCUGCCCUUCCCUGCUUCUCUCUGCUUUCACUUCCCACCUUGACAUUUAAAGCCUCUGUUCUCUGAGUGACAGUGAUGCUAAUGUUUGUCUUUUGCAGGGCUCCUUUUGAUGCUAGGCUCAGAGAACAUUCAAGAUAGUAACAGAUUGAUGCUGCUUCUGAAACCCAAUUUAAAGCAAGAAGGAGUGGGUGCCUGUUUUAUCCUGAAGCUGGAACCAGCAGCUCUCCCCUGGGUGACCACCCUGAAGUGGACGUCAUUUCUGAUCUAGGUGGAAGAGUAAGACAUAAAGGACAACUGGAGUGAGGGGGCAGGAGGCUGUCCCCGCCAGACAGUGGUGUUUGUAGCAGAAGCUCUUCUCUAUAAGGGGAAGGUGGACGCACCAGGAUCUUGACUGUAUUUUCCAGCUGAGUCUUCCUGAUUCGGACACGUCUUAAAACUUUAGACUUUUUAGAGCAUUGGUUUGGCGUGAUGGAGCCCACGUGUAAUUUACAUAAAAGUAAUAAAUGGUUCAUUGAAACUACA